AAACUUAUCUGUAUAACGCCUUCCUUCCUUUGCUUUAAAGUUUUUUUGUAUUUGAUAAAUGUCCUGGCAUCAGAUUUUAGUCUGCUGUAGAUCAUUGUUAUAUUUUUGUUCAGCUCCUCGAAUGGUCACCGAGAAACCAUUAAACCGUAUCCGGUUGCGGACGGCCUGUAAUUUAUUCACUUUAAUACCACUGGAGACUCAAAUAAGCCCGAGUCUCGUAUGUAACACGAGACUGGCAUCCCCUCAUGGCGCAAUUCAUUGGCAUGGUUGCGUUUUUUUCCCCCGAAUAUCCAAAUUUAAUCAGGGAUAGUGCCCAAUUAAUCGAACAACAAUCAGCUGUUGAUCAACAAAGUAUCCGAUGGCUGUAAAUGUGAAUCGAUGGCUGUCAACAUGAACACAAUUGCCUGUGUGUUUACAUCAUCAGCCCAAAGGCCCAGAAAUUAAUCUUAAUGUUGUUCGUAUUCUAGGCCUUUCUUGAUUGAUAUUCCAUCGAUCGUCAGUGACCACCUCAAGGAUCUGCCUUGUUUGUUUUCGACUCUGGACAAACUGGGAUACACUCCAUGGUGAACCAGGGUUCGCCUUCCAUUGAUCUGAGCAUUGUACUGAUUUUUUUUUACAUGGAAGGGAUAACAUCUGUGUUUAAGGUCUUACCAACGUGGGCUGUGGUAUCGUAUUGACAGGCAUACUUUAUCUGUAUGAAGCAGUCCUUCCUCUGUUUUUAAGUUGUUUCUCUUUGUUUUUGGUAAUUGACCAGGCAUCAGAGUUUUUUUCUGUCUGCCAUAGUUCUUGUGGUACUCUUUGACCAAUAGUUCAGUGUCUUUGGCAUUUGCACUUGGCCACUUGCUCUGGUACUCUAUCAAAGUCAACAAUUUCUGUUUCUGUUAUUGACAGGCAUAAAUUCUGUUUACUGUCUACCUUCCUUCGCUUCAAAAUUUUUUUUCAGUUCCUCUUGAAUGAUAACAUGCAUGUAUAUUUGAUGGAUUGCUUACAUUUCUAUCUCCAUUGUCGAGUAAUACUUCUUUGUCUGCAAGAAGGUUUCUUAGGAGUUUGAUGUUGUGUACUUUAUCAAAUAGGAAGGGGAUCUCCUGGGAUGUUGUGUGGAUGCGGGAAUGUACCUCUGAGCGCAUGUGGGUGAAGAGAGCAUCCAAGAUACACAGCCAAAUUAGUGGCCGCUCCAUCACAUACUAAUGCUACCACAUCUAUGUCAUGCUGUAUUAGUCACUCCAGGCAUUCCGUGACAAGCCUUUCUUGGGCUAUCAAUCUGUCUCUAAACAAAGUAACCAAUGGCAAACCGUACGUGUGUGUCGAUAGCUGUCAACAUGGAGACAUUUACCCCUGAAAAGCCCAGAAACUCAACUUUAUGCUGAUCAUACUCUAUGCCUUUCUUGAUUGACACUCCAUGGAUUGUCAAUAGCCACCUUAGGGAUCUGCCUUGUUGGUCUUGGAAUAGGGUAAACCACCAAUACACUCCAUUAUUAAUUCGGAUUUGCCUUCCCCUAAUUCGAGUUAUGUACUGUUUAUUUUUUUCUAGGGAAGGGCCAACUUCUCUGUUAGGUGGUCGUAGCAGCGUGGGCUAUGAUAUUAUAUUGACAGGCAUGCUUAAACUUAUCUGUAUGAGGCCUUCCUUCCUUUGCUUUAAAGUUUUUCUUUGUAUUUGAUAAUUGUCCUGGCAUCAGAUUUUAUUUUAGUCUGCUGUAGAUCAUUGAUAUAUUUUUGUUCAGCUCCUCGAAUGGUCACCGACAAAACCAUUACGGAUGGUCUGUAAUUUAUUCACUUUAAUACCGAUGGAGACUCAAAUAAGCCCGAGUCUCGUUGUCACGUUGAAAAUGCAAUAUCUUUGAAUCAAAGUCAGUGAGAGAGAGAGAGAGAGUCUAUUGAGUGUGCCAUUGAUGGUGAGGAGUUAUUCAGCCGUGCAAGACAUACCUGUCUUGGUUUAGCAUUUUGGCUUUUGAAUAGGAGACAUAGCAAUGCACUUUAUUGGUUUUAUACAUUGUAUGUGGCUUGCUGGUGUACAGAGAGUGGACACACCUCAACUUGAACGCCAUGAGGAAGGGAGAGUCGAAUUUGGCUGCUCUGAAAAACACAGUUGAAGAUAAUUUGUUUUACUUUUCUUCCUGAACUUGCUAAGAUUAUGCAAGAGCUACCUAUUUUUAUAAUCCAAAGGCAGAAGAGUUAGCCUGUUACAUCAGUGUAACUUAACACUUUUUUCAAGCCUGUGAAACUCAAGCCAUCGAUGGCACGUGAUCUUGGGACUUAGGACGAAAUACACAAUCUGGAUGACUGAGUUGGCGGUUUGAACUACAUCGAAGUAAAGUCACCCGCACAGCAGUUCCAAACCUUCGAUUUGCAGGCCGACUGUCAUCAAUCGUUGAACUGGU
rnacentral:lncRNA from 1 species